UUUCGAUUAACCAGAAGGAGGCGGCAUCGGUCGAUUAAUUAGGGUUUCAAAACCCUCACGUUGAUUAUUUUUGGGUGAAGUUUUUACUGAGGCAAUGGCUUCUUCAUCAGGACUGGAAUUCCAAUUGCACUCUUUUGGUUUGUGCAUUUCGGAAUAGGCCAAAGUUCCGGCAAGUUGAAGCAGAUGGUGGAACAAUUGUUUCAAAGGUUUUCACCUUUAUCUUGGUUUUAGAAAUCUGAUUUGCAGCCUUCAGAUCAUCAAAACAAGUAAGAUGUGGGUGUUUCAUCUACGCAACGAUGUGAAACAGAGGAUCAGGUUAUCGAUCGAUUAGGGUUUGAGGGUUUGAUGGAUUUUGUCAAGGUUUUGGAGGGAAAGAUUAAUUUGGUGGAUCAGAGAAUUAAUCAGAUGCGAUUAAAUUGUAAUAAUAAUAACAAUUCUCUUGGUUUUAGUCAUAAGAUUAUGUUGGAUUGUUUUAAGGGUCCUGAUCCUGAUAUGGGUUUUGUUGGUUGGAAGGAGUAAUCAGGUGUGGUUGGAUUCACCAUAUGAUUGUCAUUAUCAAUCUAACAGUAUGAUUAACGAUAUUACGGGUUUAAAUGGUGUUGAGGCUCAAAUUUUUGCAAGAAAGAUGGAUUUGAUUGAUGAAAGGAAUAAUCAGAUGGAUUUGAUUGAUGGUUU